rnacentral:rRNA from 1 species
AAAUGAAUAGACGGGGGCCCGCACAAGCGGUGGAGCAUGUGGUUUAAUUCGAUGCAACGCGAAGAACCUUACCAAGAUUUGACAUCCCAAUGACCGGGCUAGAGAUAGCCUUUCCCUUCGGGGCAUUGGAGACAGGUGGUGCAUGGUUGUCGUCAGCUCGUGUCGUGAGAUGUUGGGUUAAGUCCCGCAACGAGCGCAACCCUUACCUUUAGUAGCCAGCAUAUGAGAUGGGCACUCUAGAGGGACUGCCGUGGAUAACACGGAGGAAGGCGGGGAUGAGGUCAAAUCAUCAUGCCCUUUAUGUCUUGGGCAACACACGUGCUACAAUGGCUGCAACAAAGUGACGCAAGACAGUGAUGUUAAGCCAACCACAAAAAAGCAGUCUCAGUUCGGAUUGAAGUCUGCAACCCGACUUCAUGAAGCUGGAAUCGCUAGUAAUCGCGGAUCAGAAUGCCGCGGUGAAUACGUUCCCGGGCCUUGUACACACCGCCCGU